UACGUAGGGGCCUAGCGUUGUCCGGAAUCAUUGGGCGUAAAGAGCUCGUAGGCGGUUCGGCAAGUCACGUGUGAAAUCUCCACGCUUAACGUGGAGGCGCCACGUGAAACUGCCGUGACUCGAGUCCGGUAGGGGAGUGUGGAAUUCCCGGUGUAGCGGUGAAAUGCGCAGAUAUCGGGAGGAACACCAGUAGCGAAGGCGGCACUCUGGGCCGGUACUGACGCUGAGGAGCGAAAGCGUGGGGA
rnacentral:rRNA from 2 species